AGCUGAAGAACUUGCGGUUAACGCCAGGAACCAGUGAGGUCCCUGGUGCAAACAGAGUCCCAGCCUAUACGAUCGUUAGCAUCAUGAACACGAUGCGCAACCCGACAUCGCCGCCACCCAAGAGAAGGGUGACGAAGAAGCGGAAUUCAUGUCUCAUUUGGUCGAGUCGUACCGUAACUUAAGUAAAAAAGACGGAACAACACUUCGUUCUAUACUUCCUCCAAGUUCCUCCCAGAUGCCGGGCUCAAAAUGGAAUGACUGAACACCUACCAACUGUAAAAGCUCGCAUAUUGUAUGAGUGACGCUUUUAACCCAGCUUCCGGCGGCUCGUACAGCGUGCGCAUACUUCCAAGUACGCUAGGCACGUACAACCCUUCUACAGAAACAGAACAGCACCCUUCACAACGACACCCCCAGGAAAUGUGUAUCGAAGUGCAUACUAGUGCUAUUCAGUACCUGAAAAAGAGCUCUACGGAACAUAGCGGAGACCGGGCUCCGACGCUUUCGAGUAUCCUGUAUGAGCUAAGGUGGAUCUCAUGGUCACAAUAUCAACAUGCGUAUUAGCUUUUGACGCAUAAAUUGGCGCAGGAACACUGCACAAACAAUUGUCCGUCAUUUUAAACCCGUGCGUUC
rnacentral:rRNA from 1 species